AGAAUCAACGCUGGCGGCGUGCCUAACACAUGCAAGUCGCACGAGAAAGGGUAGCAAUACCUGAGUACAGUGGCGCACGGGUGAGUAACACGUGAAUAAUCUACCUCCGAGUGGGGAAUAACUGAGAGAAAUCUUAGCUAAUACCGCAUAAUACCCACGGGUCAAAGCAGCAAUGCGCUUGGAGAGGAGUUCGCGGCAGAUUAGUUAGUUGGCGGGGUAAUGGCCCACCAAGACGAUGAUCUGUAUCCGGCCUGAGAGGGCGCACGGACACACUGGAACUGAAACACGGUCCAGACUCCUACGGGAGGCAGCAGUGGGGAAUUUUGCGCAAUGGGGGAAACCCUGACGCAGCAACGCCGCGUGGAGGAUGAAGCCCCUUGGGGUGUAAACUCCUUUCGAUCGGGAAGAUAAUGACGGUACCGAUAUAAGAAGCCCGGCUAACUUCGUGCCAGCAGCCGC
rnacentral:rRNA from 1 species